GGGAUUUUAGUUUAUAAUAAAAUAUGUAAUUUGCAAUUAUAAGAUUUUGAUUCUAC
rnacentral:tRNA from 1 species